rnacentral:rRNA from 1 species
UACGGGGGGAGCAAGCGUUGUCCGGAAUUACUGGGCGUAAAGAGCUCGUAGGUGGUUUGUCGCGUUGUUCGUGAAAUCUCACGGCUUAACUGUGAGCGUGCGGGCGAUACGGGCAGACUAGAGUACUGCAGGGGAGACUGGAAUUCCUGGUGUAGCGGUGGAAUGCGCAGAUAUCAGGAGGAACACCGGUGGCGAAGGCGGGUCUCUGGGCAGUAACUGACGCUGAGGAGCGAAAGCGUGGGGAGCGAACAGG